rnacentral:rRNA from 1 species
UAGCAAUACCGGGUGGCGACCGGCGCACGGGUGAGUAACACGUAUCCAACCUGCCGAUAACUCGGGGAUAGCCUUUCGAAAGAAAGAUUAAUAUCCGAUAGUAUAUUAAAACCGCAUGGUUUUACUAUUAAAGAAUUUCGGUUAUCGAUGGGGAUGCGUUCCAUUAGUUUGUUGGCGGGGUAACGGCCCACCAAGACUACGAUGGAUAGGGGUUCUGAGAGGAAGGUCCCCCACAUUGGAACUGAGACACGGUCCAA